GUCUUGUGUGGUCGUGUGAUUUGUAAGCCAUUCAAUUCAUCCAGAGCUGAUUGAAUUGGUCUGAUUUUUGAGUUAAAAUUUGUCACUUAAAGCUUUAGAGCAUGAGUGUGUGUCUACUUGAUUGAAGCUGUUAAGUAAGAUCAAGUGUGUGUCUUUGAAAAAUGUCUUCUUUUCAGUGUAAUUCUUGUUUAUAUCACUAGUGUGAUUGAGGGGGAGUGAGUGGGAUCUCAUAUCUAAGAGUUCUUAGGUAGAAGUCACACGGGUAGAGAUUAGGUGAAAAAGACUGUAACUUGUGUUGUUUAUUGAGAGUCUUUGAACUGAUUCUAUUU
rnacentral:lncRNA from 1 species